GAAAACGAAGGGGAAGAAGAAGGGGUUCCCCUAAAGGGGAAGAACACACCCCAAAGUCUCUUCUUCUUCCCCUAAAGGGGAAGAAGGGGUUCCCCUUUAGGGGAAGAACACACCCCAAAGUCUCUUCUUCUUCCCCUAAAGGGGACUCCGUCUUCUUUAGUUCCCCUAAAGGGGAUGAAGAAGUGCUCCCCUUCUUCCCCUUUAGGGGAAGAANUGCUCCCCUUCUUCCCCUAAAGGGGACUCCGUCCCCUUUANUUCCCCUAAAGGGGUGAAAACGAAGGGGAAGAAGAAGGGGUUCCCCUAAAGGGGAAGAACACACCCAAAGUCUCUUCUUCGUUUUCUUCGUCUUCUUUAGUUCCCCUAAAGGGGAUGAACCAAAGUCUCUUCUUCUUCAUCCCCUUUAGGGGAACUAAAGGGGACUCCGUCUUCUUUAGUUCCCCUAAAGGGGAUGAA
rnacentral:lncRNA from 1 species